rnacentral:lncRNA from 1 species
AUGCUGCUUCUUCACAGUGCUAGUAGUAGUAAUAGUCGUAGUAGUCUCUCAGUAACCGAGGAUGACGAUUGUUUUUGUGCGUUUUCAUCUAUGGUGUAUAUGAGUGUGCACAAAGACACUUGUGCAUGGAGAUUUAAGUGGAAAAGUCGUUGCACAGAGACAGUCCCACUCUCUCGGCGUUGGAAGCCUGGGUCCAGUGGCACGAAAAAUCGUUACACCUGGAGACUUCCUCAGCUGCAUUGGAUGGCCGUGUUGUCCUUUGUGCUCCAACAUGCCCUAAGCACUCCACAGUGCUUUGCUGCAUCGCCAUCUCAGCCGUUGAACCUUCUUAUUGGUUUCUUCCAUCUGUUCAGCCGAAGCAGUCUUCACAUGCUGGAUUCUCUCUCAUGCCCAGUAGAGAAGCUCCAGGCUCAGGAGGAUUGGAAGGACAAGUUGAGGAAGGCCAGAUUCUGACCUCGAGGGAGAACAGCCCCAACUCUUACAAGGACACAGCCUUGGAACUGGGAAACCCAUGGCCAUCCCAUGGGGUAGCUGCACCAUAGGACAAUAGCAUCAACAAGCACCUCCUGUUAGGGCAUGGGACUUAACGCUUUGUGAAGGACCAUUUCUGGCUCUAUUUUAGUUAUGACAUGGGCAUUGUACCCCCAGAAACUCAGGCAAACUAUUAUGGACAGAGAGAUACACCUCCAGGCUACACCUCGAUCCUAUCAGGCUACAUCUCAAGAAAUCUGUUUGUUAAGGAAUCUUUAUGCCUCCAGGCAAACCCCAGUCAGAUGACCACCCCAUCCCACCAAAUGCUGGAGUGACUAACACUCUCUGUUGUAAAAAGUAUAAAAUCCCCAGAACUGAUGUCCUCUGGAGGACAGCCUUUCCAUCCAUGCUGUCCUCCCAAAGAACUGCUCCCCAUCUUGCUGUUCCACCUUGCUAUCCUCCUGGCCAUUCUCAACAUUUCCUCCUAAAUUAAUACAUUUCUCUUUUUGUUUUUAAUCUAAGUUUUGGAGUCUUGAAUUCUUGCAAAGAGUAUCCUUUCCGAACCCCAGGGGUGUACCUCUUCAUCCCCAUAACAGUAAAAUGUGGAGAAUGGACUAGAUGGGAUCCUAAGUGUUAUCUAGCUUCUAGGUUAAGGUCAAGGUCACAUGGCUUUGUCAACAUGGAAU